UUGAACGCUGGCGGCAUGCCUUACACAUGCAAGUCGAACGCGAAAGGGGAGCAAUCCCCCGGUAGAGUGGCGAACGGGUGAGUAAUACAUCGGAACGUGUCCAGUAGCGGGGGAUAACUUCUCGAAAGAGAAGCUAAUACCGCAUACGACCUACGGGUGAAAGAGGGGGAUCGCAAGACCUCUCACUAUUGGAGCGGCCGAUGUCGGAUUAGCUAGUUGGCGGGGUAAAAGCCCACCAAGGCUACGAUCCGUAGCUGGUCUGAGAGGACGACCAGCCACACUGGAACUGAGACACGGUCCAGACUCCUACGGGAGGCAGCAGUGGGGAAUUUUGGACAAUGGGCGAAAGCCUGAUCCAGCCAUGCCGCGUGAGUGAAGAAGGCCUUCGGGUUGUAAAGCUCUUUCGGCGGGGACGAAAAGGUCCGUGUUAACACCACGGAUCCAUGACGGUACCCGCAGAAGAAGCACCGGCUAACUACGU
rnacentral:rRNA from 1 species